rnacentral:lncRNA from 1 species
CUCAACAUUGAAGGGUCGGUAACAAAGUCAUAAGAACUAGUGACUGAUCUUACAUGCUUGAUAUCAAUUUUGUUGUCUUUAUAUGACUUUGAUAACAUGUAGGGGAGUGAAUGUAUGUACCCGUAAUUUUUCCUUUCAAUGAAUUUAUCUUUGUAGUUAGUUCACUACAAGGAGGAUGCAUGCUUUGUUUUGAAUCUUCUCCAGUUUAUAUUGUACAUUUCAUUUGCUACUUCAACCUGACCAAUUAAAAGCUUGUUUGGGAAGUGUUUAUGAACAAUUAAAUUAUUGAUUGAGAAAUAAAUAGUAGUUAAGUGGAUACUACUUGUGGGACCCUCGAGUGUGGAUAUGAUUGUUUAUUAACAUUAGCUAAACAUAGGCUAAGUGAAAUGGUUUGACAUUUCCAACGAUUUAUGGACUUGGAAAAUCUAUGACACUUAAAAGAUAUCCUGUUUUUAAGAAGAAAUUCAUCGUCUAAUAACAUAUUUCUCUGUCUAUAUAAUUACACCAUAAUUUGUUGGUUCAAAAUCUUUGUUUAUAAUCAAAUCUUCCAUAGUGACUAGUAAAUAUUAUGUAAUUUAAUCGCAAAACUGCCUGAUCCAAUUUAGUUAUGAAUCACUAAGUCUUCUUAUAAUGAAGUGCAGUGGAAUUAUAUAUGCUUACAUGAUAACAAACAAUGACAGUAACAAAUUAAACCUUAUUCCCAAUAAAUUUGGAUUUGUCUCCCUGAAUCAUUUCUUCCAUCCGUUGUGUCAUUUUUUAAAUCACAAAAGAAUAAUAAUAAUAACAACAACAACAACAACAAACAACAACAACAACAACAACAAUUGCACUAUAAAUGAUUGCUUUUCUCUUACUCUAGCAGCACUCUUUUUGACCUGCUUAUUGAUAUUUCUUGUGACGGUUGUCAGGACAUGAGAUUGAAAUGUGUUCCUGUAUUGCUUGUAUUUGAACAUGAGAGUAUAUAAUUUACGUGUUGAAUUACUGUUCAAUGUACUAACAUUUCCUUUCCUAUAGUUAUUGUUAAAAUAACAUACUAGUUGAACGCAUUUGAGUUAUAUGUUGCUGCAAAUGCUGUUAUGUUGAGAUUUGCUUUCUCACUCUUGUUUGUGUCUGCAGGUAUGUGCAGUGGUACCUGGAAAAGGAGAAGAUGGAGCAUAGAUAUUGAAGUCAAUUUGUACUCAAUUCAUCCAAGAACUCCAUAUGUUUAGACUUCACCAGCCAAUAAAAGCUACUACUAGCUUUGUGGAUUUUGUAAUCCUCAUUUACAGAUGCCAUUUGUGUGACAUCUAUGUCAUGAGUUCUGAAUAUGACAUUUCUAUGAACCUUAACCAAAGAUGUUGAGAAUCCCGAAAAUAAUUUAGAUAAUACAUAUCUUGCAUGCUUUAUUCUCUAUACGUCUCUCUUUGAAAUUUGCUUAAUUUGACUAUCAUAGCAUAAUAGGAAUGAGGAAGACGCAGCAAUGGUGGAUGUCAUGACAAAAUAUAGCUAGCUGAUUUAGCUCUUGGUUGAUUUAGAUAAAAAAUCAGAAGAUUUUGAUAAAAGUUGAUAGAAUGUGUGAUUGAAAAGUUUUUAAUCCAUAAAAUAUGUAGUUAAAAUUUAAUUGUUGGCGAUUUUGACUUGGAUUUUAAUCAGUUUUUUAGUUGAACAAAACAUGGGCUUAAUCAUAUAUAGUUGAUAAAGCUUGCAUGAUGGUUGACUUCUACUUAUUUUAAUUUUAUGGCUUCUAAUAAGAGGCAUUCAGCUUCACGUUGAUGGCCAGACGUGAGCUUAUACGAAAAAGGUGCGAGUCACUUUGUUUGACAAUUUUUUUUUGUUUUUAUUGUUGACACAUAAAAAUUCAGCACAAAUCAAAUGGCCCAAGGAAUGAAGCCUAAUUGGAGGAUCCCCAAAUCAGAUAGCCCAAAGAACGAAGCCCAAUCAGACAAUUCAAGAUGAAGGCACAAAUAGGGAGGCCCAUGAACGCGGUAACACCAUCGCCUAAGCUUGCGAGUCUCUCAGGAUCUGAGCGAAUGGAGUGCCAUGCAGACGCCCAGAGCUGUUACUCUAUUCUCGCCCAAACCUUCGAGUCGCUCAAAGUCUUAGCAAACAUGAAGUGUUGUGGUUAUCAAGAAGCGCAGUUAUCAAAGCAGUUAUUAAAGCAGUCCUAUCACGUUCCACGAUUCAAGGAACUCAAUUGAAGACGGUUGAACGACAAAGAGUAAUGACAGUAGUUAGAAAAGGCAGUUCCAUGACAAGUUGGCCAUUACGAGGAAAGUGGGCAGUUAUAGAACGAUCAAGCAGUUUUUAGGCAGUUGAUCACAAAGAGAUCAUCCAGGGAGUAUAAAGGGAAGGAAAGACAUAGAGCAAAG